rnacentral:rRNA from 1 species
UACGGGGGGGGCAAGCGUUGUUCGGAAUUACUGGGCGUAAAGGGCGCGUAGGCGGCCAGACAAAGUCGAGCGUUAAAUUCCAGGGCUUAACCCUGGGCUGUUGCUCGAUACUAGUCGGCUAGAGUGUGGAAGAGGGUGCUGGAAUUCCUGGUGUAGCGGUGAAAUGCGCAGAUAUCAGGAAGAACACCAAUGGCGAAAGCAGCUUUCUGGGACGGUACUGACGCUGAGACGCGAAAGCAUGGGGAGCGAACAGG